rnacentral:snoRNA from 1 species
GCUUCAGAUGAUGAUACACCCAAUUCACUUUUUCUGGUACCUCUUAUGUCAGGGGUGAGCAUACUGUGCUUGACCCCGAUGAUCUUAAUGGACUUCUGAUA